GAUGAACGCUGGCGGCGUGCCUAAUACAUGCAAGUCGAGCGAACAGAUGAGGAGCUUGCUCCUCUGACGUUAGCGGCGGACGGGUGAGUAACACGUGGAUAACCUACCUAUAAGACUGGGAUAACUUCGGGAAACCGGAGCUAAUACCGGAUAAUAUAUUGAACCGCAUGGUUCAAUAGUGAAAGACGGUUUUGCUGUCACUUAUAGAUGGAUCCGCGCCGCAUUAGCUAGUUGGUAAGGUAACGGCUUACCAAGGCAACGAUGCGUAGCCGUCCUGAGAGGGUGAUCGGCCACACUGGAACUGAGACACGGUCCAGACUCCUACGGGAGGCAGCAGUAGGGAAUCUUCCGCAAUGGGCGAAAGCCUGACGGAGCAACGCCGCGUGAGUGAUGAAGGUCUUCGGAUCGUAAAACUCUGUUAUUAGGGAAGAACAAAUGUGUAAGUAACUAUGCACGUCUUGACGGUACCUAAUCAGAAAGCCACGGCUAACUACGUG
rnacentral:rRNA from 1 species